UUCGGAGGGGGCGAGCGUUAUUCGGAAUUAUUGGGCGUAAAGGGCGCGUAGGCGGCUGAACAAGUCAAAGGUGAAAUCCCUCGGCUCAACUGAGGAACUGCCUUUGAAACUGUUCGGCUUGAGGCCGGGAGGGGGUAGCGGAAUUCCCAGUGUAGCGGUGAAAUGCGUAGAUAUUGGGAGGAACACCAGUGGCGAAGGCGGCUACCUGGACCGGUUCUGACGCUGAGGCGCGAAAGCGUGGGUAGCAAACAGG
rnacentral:rRNA from 1 species